rnacentral:rRNA from 1 species
CCUACGGGUGGCAGCAGUGAGGAAUAUUGGUCAAUGGGCGCGAGCCUGAACCAGCCAAGUAGCGUGAAGGAUGAAUGCCCUACGGGUUGUAAACUUCUUUUAUAAAGGAAUAAAGUGAGGCCCGUGUGCAUUUUUUGUAUGUACUUUAUGAAUAAGGAUCGGCUAACUCCGUGCCAGCAGCCGCGUGAAUACGGAGGAUCCGAGCGUUCUCCGGAUUUAGUGGGUUUAAAGGGAACGUAGAUGGGUUGUUAAGUCAGUUGUGAAAGUUUGCGGCUGAACCGUGAUAUUGCAAUUGAUACUGGCAGUCUUGAGUACAGUUGAGGUAGGCGGAAUUCGUGGUGUAGCGGUGAAAUGCUUAGAUAUCACGAAGAACUCCGAUUGCGAAGGCAGCUUACUAACCUGACACUGACAUUGAUGCUCGAAAGUGUGGGUAUCAAACAGGAUUAGAUACCCUAGUAGUC